ACGCUGGCGGCAGGCCUAACACAUGCAAGUUGAGCGGUAGCACAGGAGAGCUUGCUCUCUGGGUGACGAGCGGCGGACGGGUGAGUAAUGUCUGGGAAACUGCCUGAUGGAGGGGGAUAACUACUGGAAACGGUAGCUAAUACCGCAUGACCUCGCAAGAGCAAAGUGGGGGACCUUCGGGCCUCACGCCAUCGGAUGUGCCCAGAUGGGAUUAGCUAGUAGGUGGGGUAAUGGCUCACCUAGGCGACGAUCCCUAGCUGGUCUGAGAGGAUGAUCAGUCACACUGGAACUGAGACACGGUCCAGACUCCUACGGGAGGCAGCAGUGGGGAAUAUUGGACAAUGGGCGCAAGCCUGAUCCAGCCAUGCCGCGUGUGUGAAGAAGGUCUUCGGAUUGUAAAGCACUUUAAGUUGGGAGGAAGGGCCAUUGCCGAAUACGUGAUGGUUUCGACGUUACCGACAGAAUAAGCACCGGCUAACUCUGUGCCAGCAGCCGCGGUAAUACAGAGGGUGCAAGCGUUAAUCGGAAUUACUGGGCGUAAAGCGCGCGUAGGUGGUUUGUCAAGUUGAAUGUGAAAGCCCCGGGCUCAACCUGGGAACUGCAUGCAAAACUGGCAAGCUAGAGUAUGGUAGAGGGUGGUGGAAUUUCCUGUGUAGCGGUGAAAUGCGUAGAUAUAGGAAGGAACACCAGUGGCGAAGGCGACCACCUGGACUGAUACUGACACUGAGGUGCGAAAGCGUGGGGAGCAAAC
rnacentral:rRNA from 1 species